GUCCACGCCGUAAACGAUGGGCACUAGGUGUCGCGGGUAUUGACCCCUGCGGUGCCGUAGCUAACGCAUUAAGUGCCCCGCCUGGGGAGUACGGCCGCAAGGCUAAAACUCAAAGGAAUUGACGGGGGCCCGCACAAGCGGUGGAGCAUGUGGUUUAAUUCGACGCAACGCGAAGAACCUUACCUGGGUUUGACAUCCCGAUCGUACCUUAUGGAAACAUAGGGGUCAGUUCGGCUGGAUCGGUGACAGGUGCUGCAUGGCUGUCGU
rnacentral:rRNA from 1 species